GUGCAGCAGGCGCGAAAACUUCGCAAUACGCGCAAGCGUGACGAGGGAACCCCAAGUACUCUUGCUUUUUGCAGGAGUUUUUGCCAAGUGUAAACAGCUUGGAGAAUAAGGGCGGGGUAAGGCCGGUGCCAGCCGCCGCGGUAAUACCGGCCGCCCGAGUAGUGACCACUAUUAUUGGGCCUAAAGCGUCCGUAGCCGGUUGGACAAGUCCUCCGUUAAAUCCAGCGAUUCAAUCGUUGGAUUGCGAGGGAUACUGUUCGGCUAGGGGGUGAGAGAGGCCAACGGUAUUCCCGGGGUAGGGGUGAAAUCCUAUAAUCCCGGGAGGACCACCAGUGGCGAAGGCUGUUGGCUAGAACACGCCCGACGGUGAGGGAUGAAAGCUGGGGGAGCGAACCGGAUUAGAUACCCGGGUAGUCC
rnacentral:rRNA from 1 species